GUUUUAAUAGUUUAACAAAAACAUUGGUCUUGUAAAUCAAAAUUAAGAAAUUAUUCUUUUAAAACU
rnacentral:tRNA from 1 species